rnacentral:rRNA from 1 species
CCCGCACAAGCGGUGGAGCAUGUGGUUUAAUUCGAAGCAACGCGAAGAACCUUACCUGGCCUUGACAUCCCGAUGAAUGCAGGGCAAUGCCUGCAGCCCUUCGGGGCAUUGGAGACAGGUGGUGCAUGGUUGUCGUCAGCUCGUGUCGUGAGAUGUUGGGUUAAGUCCCGCAACGAGCGCAACCCUUACCCUUAGUAGCCAGCACGUAGAGGUGGGCACUCUAGGGGGACAGCCUGGGAUAACCAGGAGGAAGGCGGGGACGACGUCAAAUCAUCAUGCCCCUUAUGGCCAGGGCUACACACGUGCUACAAUGGCGUCGACAGAGGGAAGCGAGACAGUGAUGUGGAGCGAAGCCCAAAAAAGGCGUCUCAGUUCGGAUUGCAGCCUGCAACUCGGCUGCAUGAAGCCGGAAUCGCUAGUAAUCGCGGAUCAGAACGCCGCGGUGAAUACGUUCCCGGGUCUUGUACACACCGCCCGUCACACCAUGGGAGUCGGGAAUGCCCGAAGUCGGUGCCCUAACGAAAGAAGGAGCCGCCGAAGGCAGGCCCGGUAACUGGGGUGAAGUCGUAACAAGGUAGCCGUAAGGGCGAAUUCGCUUGCGA